rnacentral:lncRNA from 1 species
UCGAUACGGUUAUACGGGCCUACUACCCCCCGUACUAGGCAACCAAGGUACCAACCCCUCGAUACGGUUAUACGGGCCUACUACCCCCCGUACUAGGCUUGGUCGACUCACAACACUUAUAUAGAGAAAAUCAUAUACAUGUGUCCAUUUCAUCAUCAUUUCAAUAAUUAUAUAACCAUUCGAUUCAUAGGACGUACAUUGGACCUUCCAUUUCAUAAGAAUUCUAUAAAUGG